rnacentral:rRNA from 1 species
UUAAUAGUAAGAUCUGCUCAAUGCUAAUUAAAUAGCCGCAUUUUGUGCUAAGGUAGCAUAAUCAUUUGUCUUUUAAAUAAAGACUAGAACAAAAGAUUUAACAUUUCAAUUUAUUUAUUUAAUUUAAAUUAUCAAAAUUACCAGAAAAGUAAUAAGACUUUUAUUUCCAAGAAAGACGAUAAGACCCUAUAGAACUUAACUUCAGUUAUACUGGGGAAGUAUAUUAAUUAUAAUUUUAAUUUUCAAUAUAAUAAUAAAUAUCCAUUAUCACUGAUUAUCCAGUUACCUUAGGGAUAACAGCGCAAUUAUAUUUUAAAGCUCUCAUUAAAAAAAUAGAUUACGACCUCGAUGUUGAAUUAAUACCCUAGAUAUAGAAAUUUGUAUCAAAGGAAGUCUGUUCGACUUUUAAACAAUUACAUGAUUUGAGUUCAGACCGGUACAAGCCAGGUCGGUUUCCAUCUUCUACAAAUAAUUUUACAGUACGAAAGGACCUAUCAUUUUAAUAUCAUUAUUAAAUUGGCAGACUAAUGCAUUAGAAUUAGAAUCUAAUUAAACUCAC